rnacentral:piRNA from 1 species
AGCAAAUGGCUACAGGAUUGUGGC